rnacentral:lncRNA from 1 species
CUGACCCUGUAAUUGAGUAUUAAACAUCGUGUUAGAGAGCGUGUCUUUCACAAUGUCUCUGUAGGUGUAUUCAAUCCUAAAGGAAGGAGUUGUGACACACCUCAACCCAUAUAUCUAAAGGACACCUCGAUGGCACGUGCUGGUCGACACUCGAGAGUGACGAAAGUCAUAAAUAUAUGAAUACGCAAUAACAUAAAAGAACCAAUAAUCCAAAAGUCAUAUAACAAAUAAUGAUGACACAUAAUAUACAAACGCUAGAAGACAAUAAUAAUAUUCCAAAUUAAACAUGAGUGAAACGGAAUGUCCAACAAUCCCAAAUCCAAAAUAAAAGAUGCACAAUUAUGUCCAGAGCAUACCACUAAACGAUAGUACGAGUGAAAGAUAGGACGUCAAGUUUCAAUUAUCAUAAAGAAACCAUACACGAGUAGAAAAUCACAAGAUUACUGGUAGGGAAAUGCCUCGAUGCUCGAGUUGUAUUCCUCAUCACUGUGUCCUGAUGGGGUGCAAAAACAAAAGGUGAGUGGACCAUAAUUUAUAUUUGUACUAAUAAUAAUAAAACCUUUUUCUUUCUGAACAUACUAACCCCCUGUUUUCAAAACGUAUAUAAUACUACAUAUAGGUUGUUCUAAAACUCUAACAUGUCAAAAGAAAAUAUUCAUAGCAAUAAAAUCAUCUCUAAAGUGGCAUCGAAACGCCCAAAGGCAACACCCAAAAAUCUCAUAACUCAAAUCAAUGGUAUACUUCACUAAGGGUUUCAUAGUUGCCCGAAGACAUAACGAUUACCUAAAGGUGAAGUUGUACGACUUUGGGUUACGCCAGAAAAGAAAAUAUAACAUAACACACCGACACUUGCCGUGGCUAGUGAAGUUGUCCGACAUUGGUUUCACCAGUGAAGCUGGGAGUAUGUCAUAAUAUCAUCAAUUGUGUCCUAUGGCCAUAGACGUCUACAUACUUGUGUUGUGUGUAUGUGCUGUAUGAUAACCCACUAGAUAAGCAUUGAAAACUUAUCUCAAAAUCUCAUAUCAAAACACUUGAGCUCAAAUGCUCAAAUAAUCAAUUCUUAAACCAUUAUAAAUCAUAUCCAUAAAUCCAUAAAAUAAAUCAUAUUUGUAAUCCAUAGAAUUUCAUUGAUGAAAAUCCAAUAAUUUAUAAUCUUUUGUAAAAAGUAAAUUCAAUAAAUCAUAAAUAACGCAUAAAACAUAAGAUUAUGAAAUCAUGCUUUUUGUGAAUGCAUGCCUAAUAUUUUAUAAAACAUGCAAGUUAAGAAGGGGUCUACUCAUAAAUAUUCCACUACCGGGGAGCCGCUCGAACUAGGGAGGACUGGAUCACUUCCAACAGACGCACCUAAACACAAAUAAAGAUCAUUUAAUAAAACUCUACUGAAACGAUAGAAUUUAGGAAAAUAGAUAGUGGAUUUGGAUUCUGUUGGAAGUAUGCCCACAAAGCCACUCAUUUGAUGUAAU